GCUCCCAUGGCGUAUUGAUCACUGCACUCGCCUUGCACGCGGGAGACCCGGGUUCGAUUCCCGGCGGGGUCA
rnacentral:tRNA from 1 species